ACGCUCGACACCUACGCGAGGCAGCAGUGGGGAAUAUUGCACAAUGGGGGAAACCCUGAUGCAGCGACGCCGCGUGGAGGAAGAAGGUCUUCGGAUUGUAAACUCCUGUUGUUGGGGAAAAAGAGGAUGGUACCCAACAAGGAAGUGACGGCUAACUACGUGCAGCAGCCGCGGUAAUCUGAGCGGGCUGGCAAGGC
rnacentral:rRNA from 1 species